rnacentral:tRNA from 1 species
GCAGAUUUAGUAUAUCGGUAUUAUGUGGCCUUCCCAAGGCUAAGAGGCGGGUUCGACUCCCGUAAUCUGCU